UGGAAACAACUUUUGCUUGUCUCACGAAGUUUUGAUAUCAAUUGAAAACAUUAAAAUUCAAAUUUCACAAUCAGUAAUCUAACUCAAACUGUACACGAGUAUCUAACAUCGAUAAAGGUUUUUCUGGUCGAUCUGCCACGAAAUUAAGAGGAAAAUAUUUGGGUCGCCAUUCGUGGAAUUUUCUUCGUUGGAACUUUCGUAACGGGUUAAAGUGCCAGUCCUAUCUGAAGAGAAAGACCCGACGAUGCGAAACGGAAGAAAACGCAACGAAAUAUCUUCGUGGAAAACAGAGCGUGACAACGUUUGUUUCCACUGUUCGCGCAAAUCGAAUUGAUGGUUGCUAAAAAGUGAGAAAAAGGAAAGAGACCGAAAGACUUACUUUGAGAGGAUCCUGCAAGUUCUGCACCCUGCAAUGCAUGUACACUUUAGCAC